rnacentral:tRNA from 1 species
GGAGUUGUGGAUCUGUGGUAGAGCGCUCACCUACCACAUGUGAGGCCCUGGGUUCAAUCCUCAGCACCA